CAGAGGUCUCGAGCGUUAGGCGGAAUCACUGGGCUUAAAGCGUGUGUAGGCGGAUCGUUAAGUACCUUGUGAAAUCCCAUGGCUCAACCAUGGAACUGCUGGGUAUACUGGCGAUCUUGUGCAACCUAGGGGCGAGCGGAACAGAUGGUGGAGCGGUGAAAUGCGUAGAUAUCAUCUGGAACGCCAAUGGUGAAAACAGCUCGCUGGGGGUUUGCAGACGCUGAGACACGAAAGCCAGGGGAGCGAACGGGAUUAGAUACCCCGGUAGUCCUGGCCCUAAACGAUGUCGACUAGAUCGUAGUGCCUCUGACGGUAUUACGGUCGAAGCAAAAGUGCUAAGUCGACCGCCUGGGAAGUACGGUCGCAAGGCUA
rnacentral:rRNA from 1 species